rnacentral:lncRNA from 1 species
ACAAUAUCAACACAAAUGCAUGCAAUUUCACAAGUUUUAAACAGAAAUCAUCAUGAACCAGUUAUCCAACAAAACUCUACACUACUCACAUCAUCAUCAAGGUAACAUCACAAAGAAACCACCAAAGCAAGACUAAAAAAAACUCAACGACAAAACAAACAAGAACAACCAAAGCAAACAGUGCACCCACAAAGACACAUCCCCCCAAACUUAUUCACCACCAAGGAGAAUAAGUUUGAAAAGGAUUUGUGGGGCACGAAAACAAACAAACAAAC